rnacentral:rRNA from 1 species
GAGUUUGAACCUGGCUCAGGAUGAACGCUGGCGGCGUGCCUAAUACAUGCAAGUCGAGCGAACCACUUUGGUGGUGAGCGGCGAACGGGUGAGUAACACGUAGGUGAUCUGCCCAUCAGACGGGGACAACGAUUGGAAACGAUCGCUAAUACCGGAUAGGACGAAAGUUUAAAGGUGCUUCUGGCACCGCUGAUGGAUGAGCCUGCGGCGCAUUAGCUAGUUGGUAGGGUAAAGGCCUACCAAGGCGACGAUGCGUAGCCGACCUGAGAGGGUGAACGGCCACACUGGAACUGAGACACGGCCCAGACUCCUACGGGAGGCAGCAGUAGGGAAUCUUCGGCAAUGGGCGAAAGCCUGACCGAGCAACGCCGCGUGAAUGAUGAAGGCCUUCGGGUUGUAAAAUUCUGUUAUAAGGGAAGAACGACUUUAGUAGGAAAUGGCUAGAGUGUGACGGUACCUUAUGAGAAAGCCACGGCUAACUACGUGCCAGCAGCCGCGGUAAUACGUAGGUGGCGAGCGUUAUCCGGAAUUAUUGGGCGUAAAGAGCGCGCAGGUGGUUGAUUAAGUCUGAUGUGAAAGCCCACGGCUUAACCGUGGAGGGUCAUUGGAAACUGGUCGACUUGAGUGCAGAAGA